rnacentral:rRNA from 1 species
CCUACGGGUAGCAGCAGUGAGGAAUAUUGGUCAAUGGCCGUAAGGCUGACCCAGCAACGCCGCGUGAAGGAAGAAGGCUUUCGGGUUGUAAACUUCUUUUCUCAGGGACGAAGCAAGUGACGGUACCUGAGGAAUAAGCCACGGCUAACUCCGUGCCAGCAGCCGCGGUAAUACGUAGGUGGCAAGCGUUAUCCGGAUUUACGGGGUGUAAAGGGCGUGUAGGCGGGACUGCAAGUCAGAUGUGAAAACUACGGGCUCAACCUGUGGCCUGCAUUUGAAACUGUAGUUCUUGAGUACUGGAGAGGCAGACGGAAUUCCUCGUGUAGCGGUGAAAUGCGUAGAUAUGAGGAGGAACACCAGUGGCGAAGGCGGUCUGCUGGACAGCAACUGACGCUGAGGCGCGAAAGCGUGGGGAGCAAACAGGAUUAGAUACCCUAGUAGUC